AGAGUUUGAUCCUGGCUCAGAAUGAACGCUGGCGGCAUGGAUUAGGCAUGCAAGUCGAACGAGAAGCUCCAGCUUGCUGGAGUGGAAAGUGGCGCAAGGGUGAGUAACCCGUGAGCAACCUGCCCGAAAGUCGGGGAUAGCCCAGGGAAACCUGGAUUAAUACCGGAUGUGGUCAACCUAUCGCAUGAUUGGUUGACUAAAGUUUUUCGCUCUCGGAUGGGCUCGCGCACCAUCAGCUUGUUGGUAAGGUAACGGCUUACCAAGGCUACGACGGUUAGGUGGUCUGAGAGGACGAUCACCCACACUGGGACUGAGACACUGCCCAGACUCCUACGGGAGGCUGCAGUCGAGAAUCUUCCGCAGUGCGCGAAAGCGUGACGGAGCGAUGCCGCGUGCAGGAUGAAGGCCUUCGGGUCGUAAACUGCUGUCACUCGGGACGAAUUUUGACGGUACCGAGAGAGGAAGCCACGGCUAACUACGUGCCAGCAGCCGCGGUAAUACGUAGGUGGCGAGCGUUAUUCGGAUUUAUUGGGCGUAAAGGGUUCGUAGGCGGUGAAGUAAGUUUGAUGUGAAAUCUCAGGGCUCAACCCUGAAACUGCAUUGGAUACUGCUUCACUUGAGUAUUGGAGAGGUAAGCGGAAUUCCUGGUGUAGCGGUGGAAUGCGUAGAUAUCAGGAGGAACACCGAUGGCGAAGGCAGCUUACUGGACAAUAACUGACGCUGAGGAACGAAAGCUAGGUUAGCAAACAGGAUUAGAUACCCUGGUAGUCCUAGCCGUAAACGUUGUUCACUAGAUGUAGGCGGAUUGGUCCCGUCUGUGUCCAAGCUAACGUGAUAAGUGAACCGCCUGGGGAGUACGGCCGCAAGGCUAAAACUCAAAGGAAUUGACGGGGGCCCGCACAAGCGGUGGAGCAUGUGGCUUAAUUCGAGGCAACGCGAAGAACCUUACCUGGACUUGAAAUAUACGGGACCGCCAUGGAAACAUGGUUUCUGCUUGCAGUCCGUAUACAGAUGCUGCAUGGCUGUCGUCAGCUCGUGCCGUGAGGUGUUCGGUUAAGUCCGGCAACGAGCGCAACCCACGUCAUUAGUUGCCAUCAGGUAAUGCUGGGAACUCUAAUGAGACUGCCCGUGUCAAGCGGGAGGAAGGCGUGGACGACGUCAAGUCAGUAUGGCUCUUACGUCCAGGGCUGCACACGUGCUACAAUGGCUGGUACAAUGGGUCGCUACCCCGCGAGGGGAAGCCAAUCUCCAAAGCCAGCCCCAGUUCGGAUCGCAGUCUGCAACUCGACUGCGUGAAGUCGGAAUCGCUAGUAAAGGUGUAUCAGCAACGACACCUUGAAUACGUUCCCGGGCCUUGUACACACCGCCCGUCACAUCAUGGAAGCCUGUUGCACCCGAAGUCGCCGACCCAACCCGCAAGGGAGGGAGGUGCCGAAGGAGUGGCCGGUAACUGGGAUGAAGUCGUAACAAGGUA
rnacentral:rRNA from 1 species